ACUCCCACAUCUAAAGGCUCCACUGUGAUCACCAAGGCAGUUCUCCCAGGGCGAAUCUCACCAUUGCACUCUGGGUGUGCUGACCCCUGUGAUUUCCCCAAAUGCGGGAAACUCGACUGCAUAAUUUAUGGUAGUGGGGGACAUGCUUUCCCCUG
rnacentral:snRNA from 1 species